AUGAAGUCGAACACAUCUGAAAGAUGUGUGGGCUGCCUGCACUCAACGUUGCGUUCAUUCAGUAGAGUGUAACCUCAAUCGGUUUUUGCAGCUUCUGGGUGUCGUGUCGAACGAUCACAGAACGAUUUUUUGUUCUUUUCCAACUCGAUUUUUAACUCCUUAAACUAGUAGGAUGUUCCAACGGGUGAAGCAACAGUGCUUCAGUGACGGAGUUUCAGUGUCAAGUUUUCAUGCCAUGACCACUGGGGCGGAAACCAUGACGUUGCCUUGGACUUCAAACUAAACCAUCUCAUUCUGGCUUUUUUCUAACCUCGAAAUCUCAGAAGGACAGGUCUAAUGGACGCAGCCUCCAUAGGAUGCAACCUUGCAUUUGAGAAACACCCCUAGAACGGUCAACUUACCCCAUACUCUAACCUGAAUGCAGGGAUCAUAAAACUUUAUCUUUUACCUUAAUUGUUAGAUGGGUGUUGAUACCAAACUUUUUUUUCUCGUCUACCCGGGAGAAAGUCAUGGGUUCUGCUGCUGAGUGUCUUUUAUUCUGCUUACCUGACUCAUGCAGAAUUCUGGCUUGAUGUUUGGUCCACCUGUUAGCUGGCUCUGGUGCUUGGUAGUCUUCUCAAACCUCUGAAUCAAGACCACCAUGAGAGGCCUUCUGAAGACCAUCAUUACGCUGCAGAUCCAGUGGUCUUUACUAUGAGAUAGAACUGAACUGGAUUCUGUGAACUAAUGCUGUGUUCGAGACAACUUGGAUGUUUGAUAUUAUUGACCU